GAGUCUGGUAAAAUAUAUUCCUUUAUACUUCACGGCAAACCUAGAAUUAUUUUAAAUAUAUGAAGUUGCCUAAUAUAUGCACGUUUAUAAUGUCUUUAAAAUAUUUGUACUUAAUUUUGGAACACUGUAUGCUAUGGCUUUUACGAAUCUGCUUUUAUAGGUACCGUACAAGCUGCCACUAAUUCGUACGGUUAUACGUUAGAUAAAAUAUAUGAACUACUUGUAAGUACGAACUUAUAUGUAAAAGGUAUAUCAGCACGACUAGAGAAAAUGGAAAAUUCAAGAAAAAUUGAGAGUGUCAAUAAUCAUGAUGCACUGAAAGAUUUAAGAAAAAUGUUGCCCUUAAGCAGCACAGAUGAUAUAAAUCAAUUUGAAAUAUUUCUUGGGGAUGAUGAACAAAAGAAAAUUUUUACAAAUUUUAUAUCCUCUAUAGGAGGUAGGAAUGUGAAAGAUAAUAUUCACAGAUGUUUGAAAUCAAUAUUCUCUAAUGAAGCUGCUACCAAAUGUUCGUGGCUAGGCCAACGAGGCAAUUUUCGCGUUUGUGAUCUAUCUUCAAUAACUGUCCUAAAAGAUCAGAUCCAAGUCAACUAUAAUAUAACAUUAAAAGAGUUUGAAGUCAUUGGUAGCGAAUGGUUCCGUUUGUCAAAAUUAAGGUUAAAACCAGAUAAACGCAACCCUGAUUCUUCUAAUGUCGUCAACUAGUA